ACGUCUACGAGUUUGAUCCUGGCUCAGAGCGAACGUUUGCGGCGGGCCUAACACAUGCAAGUCGAACGGGCAGUCCCUUCGGGGGCUGUCAGUGGCGCACGGGUGCGUAACACGUAGGUAAUCAACCCUCGGGUUCGGGAUAACACUUCGAAAGGGGUGCUAAUACCGGAUGCGACGAGCGUCUCCUCGGAGAUGCACGGGAAAGAUCCGCAAGGGUCGCCCGAGGACGAGCCUGCGGCCCAUCAGCUUGUUGGUGAGGUAAUGGCUCACCAAGGCUAAGACGGGUAGCUGGUCUGAGAGGAUGAUCAGUCACACUGGAACUGAGACACGGUCCAGACUCCUACGGGAGGCAGCAGUGGGGAAUAUUGCGCAAUGGGCGAAAGCCUGACGCAGCCACGCCGCGUGAGCGAUGAAGGCCUUCGGGUCGUAAAGCUCUGUGGGGGGAGAAGAAAAAGCCGGUGAAGAGCCGGACCUGACGGUAUCCCCUUAGCAAGCACCGGCUAACUCCGUA
rnacentral:rRNA from 1 species